UACAGAGGGUGCAAGCGUUGUUCGGAAUUACUGGGCGUAAAGCGCGUGUAGGCGGUUUUUCAAGUCCUGUGUGAAAGCCCUGGGCUCAACCCAGGAAGUGCGCAGGAUACUGGAUGACUGGAGUGGCGGAGAGGAUGGCGGAAUUCCCGGUGUAGAGGUGAAAUUCGUAGAUAUUCGGAAGAACACCAGUGGCGAAGGCGACAUACUGGCUCAUUACUGACGCUGAGGCGCGAAAGCGUGGGGAGCAAACAGG
rnacentral:rRNA from 1 species